ensembl:lncRNA
ACUCCUCCCUUGUCCGCCAAAAGCCAAUUAAGAGCCUGUCUGUUUUGCCAUGUCAUUCUACUUGUUGCGUGUACUUGGUCUCCUAACAAGGUUAACGCAUCAUCAGUAUAAUUAAUGAAUCUUUGUUGAUUAUAAUAAAUGUAAUUAAUCCACUCUGCAUUUUUCUUUGGUGUGAUCCAAACGAAUAUUGACUCAAAACCUGUUUUUAUUUCAUCUCUUGCCUUGAAUUCAUUAGCAAUUCCUCUCGGUUGUCCAGUUGAGUCUAAAUAUACAUUGGGGUCUGGCUCGUAACCUCUUUUAAUUCUGUUGUCUUCCUUACUUGUGCUUGGUUGUGUUCCCCAUUGUGCCAUGUUAACUUCUUGAAGUAAUCGUACUCUUACACAUAUACCUUUCCAUCCUACUGGUAAAGAAGGCAGUAAUAUCUCACCUCCACAGAUCCAAAAGAAAUCUGCUAUUAUUAAUGAUUAGUCUUCAUAAAUUUCUAUUGAAGGUAAUGCAAUAGUUUGAUUUUCACAUUCUUCAGCCGUUAUUUUACUUCCGUUAGUUGUUCCGAGUGCUAACAGUUCUGGAGCUCUAGAAGGAAUUCCUGAUUUCCAAUAAUUUUUCUUAUCUAUGUACCAAAUAAUAGCACAUUUUCCUUUAAAUUUGCCCACAUCUUGUGUUCCUUUUGGUUUAUGGAAAUAUAUUCAUAUUCCUGUUUAUAAUCUAUGCUAUACCAUUUUGGAAUCUCUACUUUCCGUUUUUCAAUUUUUAUAUUUCGGCUGACAUCUGAGUACUGACACCAAGAUCCCCAGAGUUGUCUAAAAAAUAAUCUGUUAAUUUAGGAUUUCUCAAAAAUCCUAGACAUUCAGCAAAACAAUUUGGUCUGGGAAAAUCUGUUAAAUGACAAAAGUUUCUCCAAAAUUUGGCACAUUUUCGGUAUUCAUAUGGAUUUGGUAUGGCUAUUACUUUGUUUAAUGGAGAUUUGGAGCACAGCAAGCAAUUUUCUUUUCCUGUUUCUCUAGCAGUAAAGGCUGCCCAUUUAUACCAUUCAUUAUUUUGGGCUGUAUCCCAUAAUGCAUCAAUAUCAAGCAGCAAAACGGACUGUUUUGUACAGCUAAAAAUAGCUAGACAUGGAUGAGACCGGAAGCUAGACACAUAGAAUUUACAAAUGGCCACACACAUUUUUAGACAAGAAAAAGGACAGGGAAAAAGAUAGGGACACUAACCAGAAUAAAUGACACACAGCUGGAAAACAAUUAACCUGCACUUCACUUCACUUCACUUUUUUUUUUUUUAUAAUAUUUUAGCAUUAAGUCCUUUUUCUUUUUGGGGGGCAUAUAGAAAACAGAUUGCUUAUCUUCCAUUCUAAAACAAUUAUUCAGCUCACAUAUGUCUUGCAAUUGAACUGAACUAUUCUUUGAAACAAUAUCAAUCUGCCCAUCUUUAUUGUUUCCAGAACACUGUGCCACACUUGCUAAGUUCUUUACACCAGCCUCUGAUUGUGUUUCAAUGUGUGCCAUACGCGAGAGCUGAUGCGACGAUGGCACACAUUCACAUUCACAGACUCACAGGGAAAAACUGUAGCCACCACUGCCGAGCUUUACCUGGGCACACUACUUCAACCGCACCGGCAACACCAGCUGCAUCACAACUUUCCGAAUUCUCAUUCUUUCCCUUCCUAAAAUUGUG